rnacentral:lncRNA from 13 species
CGGAUUUAUGUAAUAGCAGAUUCAUUUGCUGUCUCUAGAUCAGGAUUGCCAGAAACUGCAAGGGUAAGGUUUGCAUUCAUAAUAAAGCCGGGGGCGGGGGUGGGGGUGGUGGUGGUUGUUUCCACUAAAAGAACUGUCACUCAUCCUGGGACAGGAAACGUGGGCAUCCCUUCGGAACUGAAAUGGAGAGGGACUUCCUCCACUCUUUAUUCCAGGGCAAGAGGUCACAGGUGGGGUAGGAAGAGUCCUGACAGGUAAGCGUGAUUAGAGAAACCUCUGGGUGCUCUGGGGAUGUGCUCUGGGGGGUGUGUUGAUUUCAAAAAGUUAUAUAAGUAAAACGCUACAGUGCAGGUCCAGGCUCAAGGUGGUGGAAAGCAAGCCCAAGUGAGUGUAGCCAUGAGAGGUAGACUUCCUCCACCACCCCACCACAACAUGAUCCAGGGAAGUCAGGAAGGAGUGGGGAGAUGGGAGCCAUCACUGAGUCCCUCCCACCUCUACUGGAAGUAAAUCCUUCCCUUUCCUGAUCCUCACAGUGGGGGAGAGUAGCCCAAGGGUAAAAAAUGUCCAAGAUAAUUCACUUAGAUUAAGUUGACGGACAGGAAAUAAUAAAAAGAGAUUAAAUUAGUCAUAAAGUUGUGAAUCUAUCUGUGUGACAGAUAAGGUGGUCAAGAGAGUGCUAUGGGGAAGCUGAAAGGUUGACUAUGCUGACAGUCUGGAAAGGUGAGCUCACCUUCAGAGAAUCCCAGUUCCUCAAGAAAGUCCAUGCUCCAACAAGAGGCAUCUUGGAACUGAGACAGCCAGGUGGGAAGGGCUCCUGGCAAAACUUCAAUCGGUCUGCGCACUGGGAGGA